rnacentral:rRNA from 1 species
GACGAAAGUCUGACCGAGCAACGCCGCGUGAGUGAAGAAGGUUUUCGGAUCGUAAAGCUCUGUUGUAAGUCAAGAACGUGUGUGAGAGUGGAAAGUUCACACAGUGACGGUAGCUUACCAGAAAGGGACGGCUAACUACGUGCCAGCAGCCGCGGUAAUACGUAGGUCCCGAGCGUUGUCCGGAUUUAUUGGGCGUAAAGGGAGCGCAGGCGGUCAGGAAAGUCUGGAGUAAAAGGCUAUGGCUCAACCAUAGUGUGCUCUGGAAACUGUCUGACUUGAGUGCAGAAGGGGAGAGUGGAAUUCCAUGUGUAGCGGUGAAAUGCGUAGAUAUAUGGAGGAACACCAGUGGCGAAAGCGGCUCUCUGGUCUGUCACUGACGCUGAGGCUCGAAAGCGUGGGUAGCGAACAGGAUUAGAUACCCUGGUAGUCCACGCCGUAAACGGUGAGUGCUAGGUGUUAGGCCCUUUUCCGGGGCUUAGUGCCGGAGCUAACGCAAUAAGCACUCCGCCUGGGGAGUACGACCGCAAGGUUGAAACUCAAAGGAAUUGACGGGGGGCCCGCACAAGCGGUGGAGCAUGUGGUUUAAUUCGAAGCA